CAGUAGCCGCGGUAAUACGGAGGGUGCAAGCGUUAAUCGGAAUUACUGGGCGUAAAGCGUGCGCAGGCGGUUUGUUAAGACAGAUGUGAGAUCCCCGGGCUCAACCUGGGAACUGCAUUUGUGACUGGCAAGCUAGAGUGUGGCAGAGGGGGGUGGAAUUCCGCGUGUAGCAGUGAAAUGCGUAGAUAUGCGGAGGAACACCGAUGGCGAAGGCAGCCCCCUGGGCCAACACUGACGCUCAUGCACGAAAGCGUGGGGAGCAAACAGGAUUAGAUACCCGCGUAGUCCCUGUCUCUUAUAC
rnacentral:rRNA from 1 species